CCUACGGGAGGCAGCAGUAGGGAAUCUUUCACAAUGGGCGAAAGCCUGAUGGAGCAACGCCGCGUGCAGGAUGAAGGCCUUCGGGUUGUAAACUGCUUUUAUAAGCGAGAAAUAUGAUGGUAACUUAUGAAUAAGGAUCGGCUAACUACGUGCCAGCAGCCGCGGUCAUACGUAGGAUCCGAGCAUUAUCCGGAGUGACUGGGUGUAAAGAGUUGCGUAGGUGGCAUAAUAAGUAGCUAGUGAAAUCUGGUGGCUCAACCAUUCAGACUAUUAGCUAAACUGUUAAGCUCGAGACCGUUAGGAGUAACUGGAAUUUCUAGUGUAGGAGUGAAAUCCGUAGAUAUUAGAAGGAACACCAAUAGCGUAGGCAGGUUGCUGGGACGGUUCUGACACUAAGGCACGAAAGCGUAGGGAGCAAACGGGAUUAGAUACCCCAGUAGUC
rnacentral:rRNA from 1 species